AACGGCCGCGGUAUCCUAACCGUGCAAAGGUAGCAUAAUCACUUGCCCAUUAAUUGUGGGCUAGUAUGAAAGGGUUAACGAAAUAAAGACUGUCUCAAUUAAUCACCUAAAAACUAUUCUCUACUUGAAGAAAAGUAGAUAUUCUCGAAGGACAAGAAGACCCUAUAGAGCUUAAUUUUACUUAUAGGCCUACACUAUAAAAAUAUUCGGUUGGGGCGACCCAGGGCUAAUUAAUCACCCAUUAAAAAAAAGAUACAUAAAUCAAAUAAAUGACCCUCAUAGAUCAAAAGACCAAGCUACCUUAGGGAUAACAGGCUAAUCCCACUUAAGAGUCCUUAUCAACAGUGGGGUUUGGCACCUCGAUGUUGGCUUAGG
rnacentral:rRNA from 1 species